rnacentral:rRNA from 1 species
CCUACGGGUGGCAGCAGUGAGGAAUAUUGGUCAAUGGACGAGAGUCUGAACCAGCCAAGUAGCGUGAAGGAUGACUGCCCUACGGGUUGUAAACUUCUUUUAUAUGGGAAUAAAAUGUUCCACGUGUGGGAUUUUGUAUGUACCAUAUGAAUAAGGAUCGGCUAACUCCGUGCCAGCAGCCGCGGUAAUACGGAGGAUCCGAGCGUUAUCCGGAUUUAUUGGGUUUAAAGGGAGCGUAGAUGGAUUGUUAAGUCAGUUGUGAAAGUUUGCGGCUCAACCGUAAAAUUGCAGUUGAAACUGGCAGUCGUGAGUACAGUAGAGGUAGGCGGAAUUCGUGGUGUAGCGGUGAAAUGCUUAGAUAUCACGAAGAACUCCGAUUGCGAAGGCAGCUCACUGGACUGCAACUGACACUGAGGCUCGAAAGUGUGGGUAUCAAACAGGAUUAGAUACCCGAGUAGUC